GGAAUCUUCCACAAUGGACGAAAGUCUGAUGGAGCAACGCCGCGUGAGUGAAGAAGGGUUUCGGCUCGUAAAACUCUGUUGUUAAAGAAGAACAUAUCUGAGAGUAACUGUUCAGGUAUUGACGGUAUCUGACCAGCAAGUCACGGCUAACUACGUGCCAGCAGCCGCGGUAAUACGUAGGUGGCAAGCGUUGUCCGGAUUUAUUGGGCGUAAAGGGAACGCAGGCGGUCUUUUAAGUCUGAUGUGAAAGCCUUCGGCUUAACCGGAGAAGUGCAUUGGAAACUGGGAGACUUGAGUGCAGAAGAGGAGAGUGGAACUCCAUGUGUAGCGGUGAAAUGCGUAGAUAUAUGGAAGAACACCAGUGGCGAAAGCGGCUCUCUGGUCUGUAACUGACGCUGAGGUUCGAAAGCGUGGGGAGCGAACA
rnacentral:rRNA from 1 species